rnacentral:misc_RNA from 1 species
AACGCACAUUGCGCCCCUUGGCAUUCCGAGGGGCAUGCCUGUUCGAGCGUCAUUACAACCCCUCAAGCCCGGCUUGGUGUUGGGGCCUGCGGUCCUAGCAGCCCUUAAUAUCAGUGGCGGUGCCAUCCGGCCCUAAGCGUAGUAACUCUUCUCGCUAUGGGGUCCGGGUAGGUGCCUGCCAUUAAACCCUAAAUUUUCUAUGGUUGACCUCGGAUCAGGUAGGGAUACCCGCUGAACUUAA